rnacentral:tRNA from 1 species
GCGGCUGUGGUGGAAUUGGUAGACACGCGGGUUUUAGGUACCCGUUCCUUACGGAGUGGGGGUUCAAGUCCCUCCAGCCGCACCA